rnacentral:lncRNA from 1 species
CGGACUCCUACGGGAGCCGGGCUCCACCCACAACUUCAACCUCAAGGAGGACUCCGCCCGGACUCCCACGGGAGCCGGGCUCCACCCACGACUCCGACCUCAAAGAGGACUCCACCCGAACUCCCAUGGGAGCCGGGCUCCGCCCACGGCUUCGACCUCAAGGAGGACUCCGCCCGGACUCCUACGGGAGUCAAGCUCCGUCGUCAACUUCAACUGCCGGUAAGCUCCGUCCGGACUCCUACGGGAGCCGGACUUCGCACCUGACUUUAAUUGCAGGGGACUCCGCUCGGACUC